rnacentral:rRNA from 1 species
GUAGGUGGCAAGCGUUGUCCGGAAUUAUUGGGCGUAAAGCGCGCGCAGGCGGUUCUUUAAGUCUGAUGUGAAAGCCCACGGCUCAACCGUGGAGGGUCAUUGGAAACUGGAGAACUUGAGUACAGAAGAGGAAAGCGGAAUUCCACGUGUAGCGGUGAAAUGCGUAGAGAUGUGGAGGAACACCAGUGGCGGAGGCGGCUUUCUGGUCUGUAACUGACGCUGAGGCGCGAAAGCGUGGGGAGCAAACAGGAUUAGAUACCCUGGUAGUCCACGCCGUAAACGAUGAGUGCUAAGUGUUAGGGGGUUUCCGCCCCCCUUAGUGCUGCAGCUAACGCAUUAAGCACUCCGCCUGGGAGUACGGCCGCAAGGCUG